UUUGGUACGGCACGGAUAAAAUUGGUACCCGUACCACUUUCUUGGUUCUUGGACUACCUAUUUAUCAAAAAUUAAGCGUAGUGUAAACGGGGCUUAGCUAAAUAGGUAGUCAAAGAACCAAAAAAGUGGUACGGGUACCAAUUUUAUCCGUGCCGUACCAAA